GGGGCUCUCGGUUUCUGAGUGUGGAGUUUCUAUAACAUCCAGUUGGAGACUAGAGCUGUUAGAUUUGCUGUAUUCCGGGGAGCAAGGACAAUUUUCCUCUGCCAACAUGCAUUCUGCCACUCACCCAAUUCUUCUGAUCUUCUUAUUAUACAGAGGAACCAGUGGAGACUCAGUGACCCAGACUGAAGUCCCAGUCACUCUCCCAGAGGAGGCACUUUUGAUCCUGAACUGCACUUACCAGACCACUUAUUCAGAUGUCUACCUGUUCUGGUACGUGCAGUAUGUCAACAGAGCUCCUCAACUCCUCCUGAAGGGGUCCGCUGCAAACCCGAGGCCCGAGCAUCAAGGUUUUCAGGCCACUCUUGACAAGAGUGACAGGACUUUCCACCUGCAGAAACCGUCCGUGCAGACGUCAGACUCGGCCGUGUACUACUGUGCUUUGGGAGACACAGUGAGAGGGGCUGCAGGGGGAGCUGAGCACAAACCCAGGGGCGCAGCUGUUAUGAGGAGGAGGAGGUCAGACCUGGCUGUGGUGCAGUUUGUCGGAGGGCCACCAGAGGGCGGGCUUCCGUCAGACGUGGUUCAUGUUUACCUUCAGGCGCUGGUUUGA